rnacentral:rRNA from 1 species
GACGAACGCUGGCGGCGUGCUUAACACAUGCAAGUCGAACGCUGAAGCUUGGUGCUUGCACUGGGUGGCUGAGUGGCGAACGGGUGAGUAAUACGUGAGUAACCUGCCCUUGACUCUGGGAUAAGCCUGGGAAACUGGGUCUAAUACUGGAUACGACAUGUCACCGCAUGGUGGUGUGUGGAAAGGGUUUUACUGGUUUUGGAUGGGCUCACGGCCUAUCAGCUUGUUGGUGGGGUAAUGGCUCACCAAGGCGACGACGGGUAGCCGGCCUGAGAGGGUGACCGGCCACACUGGGACUGAGACACGGCCCAGACUCCUACGGGAGGCAGCAGUGGGGAAUAUUGCACAAUGGGCGGAAGCCUGAUGCAGCGACGCCGCGCGAGGGAUGACGGCCUUCGGGUUGUAAACCUCUUUCAGCACGGAAGAAGCGAAAGUGACGGUACGUGCAGAAGAAGCGCCGGCUAACUACGUG